UAGGGAAUCUUCGGCAAUGGGGGGAACCCUGACCGAGCAACGCCGCGUGAGUGAAGAAGGUUUUCGGAUCGUAAAGCUCUGUUGUUAAGGAAGAACGAGUGUGAGAAUGGAAAGUUCAUACUGUGACGGUACUUAACCAGAAAGGGACGGCUAACUACGUGCCAGCAGCCGCGGUAAUACGUAGGUCCCGAGCGUUGUCCGGAUUUAUUGGGCGUAAAGCGAGCGCAGGCGGUUAGAUAAGUCUGAAGUUAAAGGCAGUGGCUCAACCAUUGUAGGCUUUGGAAACUGUUUAACUUGAGUGCAGAAGGGGAGAGUGGAAUUCCAUGUGUAGCGGUGAAAUGCGUAGAUAUAUGGAGGAACACCGUUGGCGAAAGCGGCUCUCUGGUCUGUAACUGACGCUGAGGCUCGAAAGCGUGGGGAGCGAACAGG
rnacentral:rRNA from 1 species